CAUUAUACAUUAGUUGACGGGACUAGUAUAGAGUCUUCGUUACUUUAACACAAAGGAAAUAUAAAUACGUUAAUUAUAAAAACACCUCAAGAGAAAAUGAAAAAAGACAGAGAGAGAAGAAAAAAGCAAAAGAGCAGACUUCACUCUCCCAUCUCUCUCUCUCUUACAGAUUUUCUCUCUCUACGCUUCCUUGUCUCCCUCCAUAGAUGAUGUUCUUCUUCUGCUGAAACAGUUAAUUUCACACAAAAAGGUGCAUUUUUCUGGAACCUUUUCUUUUUAUAUUGAAUUACUUUUUCCCAUUAAAAAAAUUAAGUUAUUUAUUUCAUGUCAUAAUGGGUUGAUCCUCUAAUAUAUACAUACAUAAACAUAUUAUCAUUCCAUCUCAUUUUCUGAAAUUUUCAUUGGAAUGCUUUCCUCUGAUCUGAUCUCUUUGUCUUGUCCUUUCUACAGCUUUAUUAAUUAAUUUUUCUCAAUUUUAAUUAAUCCCCAAUUUACCAAAUUGUAUAUGCAUGUAGUUGUGGGAUUAUACUGGGUAUGUAAUGUAGUUGUGGGAUUAUACUGGGUAUGUUGUUGUUGUUGUAUAUGCAUGUAGUACAUACAUAUACGUUUAUACGUAUUUAUAAGAAUCUCACUCACCUGAACAUACAUGUCAUUAAUGGAGAUCUGGGUACGAUUUUUAAUCUUUUUUAAUCUUUUCUUUUUGGGGUUUAUGCAGAAUUUCUUUGCAAAAAGCUU
rnacentral:lncRNA from 1 species